rnacentral:rRNA from 1 species
UACGAAGGGGUGCAAGCGUUACUCGGAAUUACUGGGCGUAAAGCGUGCGUAGGUGGUUUGUUAAGUCUGAUGUGAAAGCCCUGGGCUCAACCUGGGAAUUGCAUUGGAUACUGGCAGGCUAGAGUGCGGUAGAGGAUGGCGGAAUUCCCGGUGUAGCAGUGAAAUGCGUAGAGAUCGGGGAGGAACAUCUGUGGCGAAGGCGGCCUCUGGACCAGCACUGACACUGAGGCACGAAGCGUGGGGAGCAAACAGG